rnacentral:rRNA from 1 species
UAGGCGAACGGGUGAGUAACACGUGAGCAACCUACCUUACACAGGGGGAUAGCCGUUGGAAACGACGAUUAAUACCGCAUGAGACCACAGAAUCGCAUGAUAUAGGGGUCAAAGAUUUAUCGGUGUAAGAAGGGCUCGCGUCUGAUUAGCUAGUUGGAGGGGUAAAGGCCUACCAAGGCGACGAUCAGUAGCCGGUCUGAGAGGGUGAACGGCCACAUUGGAACUGAGACACGGUCCAA